AGGGGAUGUCAUACUCAGAUACAAUGUCCAGUGCUCAGAUCCCGGUCCUUCAAGUAGUGCUACACCCCUAGUACCUGAUGCUUGUGAAGGCGCAGAGCUGACAUCCUCCACAUGGAUAAGUCAA